rnacentral:rRNA from 1 species
GACGUAGGGUGCGAGCGUUGUCCGGAUUUAUUGGGCGUAAAGAGCUCGUAGGCGGCUUGUUACGUCGGCUGUGAAAACCCGGGGCUCAACCCCGGGCCUGCAUUCGAUACGGGCAGACUAGAGUUCGGUAGGGGAGUCUGGAAUUCCUGGUGUAGCGGUGAAAUGCGCAGAUAUCAGGAGGAACACCGGUGGCGAAGGCGGGACUCUGGGCCGAUACUGACGCUGAGGAGCGAAAGCGUGGGGAGCAAACAGG